rnacentral:rRNA from 1 species
CCAGACUCCUACGGGAGGCAGCAGUGGGGGAUAUUGCACAAUGGGGGGAACCCUGAUGCAGCGACGCCGCGUGGGUGAAGGAGUGCUUCGGCAUGUAAAGCCCUAUCGGCAGGGAAGAAGCAAGACGGUACCUGACUAAGAAGCCCCGGCUAACUACGUGCCAGCAGCCGCGGUAAUACGUAGGGGGCGAGCGUUAUCCGGAUUCACUGGGCGUAAAGGGAGCGUAGACGGCCAUGCAAGCCAGGGGUGAAAGCCCGGGGCCCAACCCCGGGACUGCCCUUGGAACUGCAUGGCUGGAGUGCGGGAGGGGCAGGCGGAAUUCCUGGUGUAGCGGUGAAAUGCGUAGAUAUUAGGAGGAACACCGGCGGCGAAGGCGGCCUGCUGGACCGUAACUGACGUUGAGGCUCGAAAGCGUGGGGAGCAAACAGGAUUAGAUACCCCAGUAC